rnacentral:lncRNA from 1 species
CUUUUCCUACCUCGCCAGUAGCGUGCCCUGGCAAAGCCGCUGGUCUGCGCCUGCUAGCGUCGCCGCUCGCCCUGUCACCUCGCCUGCAGCGCUCUCGCUUGCAGUGCCCCUUCCUUCCUUCCUGCCACAUGCUAGCCGAAUCGCCGCCCCUAAUCCGCCGCUUGAUGCGACCAGACCCGCGCUCGCCCUUGCCAAUCCUUCCCUCCGGCAAAACCGCGCCUGCAUAAGCUCUGUCUUCAGU